UGCGGCUGGAUCCCCUCCUUUAAAAGACAGCACGAGCCAGCGGCUCGGUGCGAGUCCCCAUUCAAGUUACCUGUCUCGAUGAACGUGUCGCUGGACUGAUCGCCGGCGCCGCAGGCCACGCCUGGGGCAUAGUCGAAACGCCGGGUCUGUAGCUCAGUUGGUCAGAGCGCACCCCUGAUAAGGGUGAGGCCGGAAGUUCGAAUCUUCCCAGACCCACCAUUCUGGGGAUCUGACCAAAGGGGCCAUAGCUCAGCUGGGAGAGCACCUGCUUUGCAAGCAGGGGGUCGCCGGUUCGAUCCCGGCUGGCUCCACCAGAUCAGUCGGCAGUUCCGCGUGCCACCACGCAUGCACCGCGUCGAGUCGCUCGAUGCAUGCGUGGUCUCACGCGUCGCAGUGAACACUGCAACGCACGCUCUUUAAGAAAUCGAAUUUGGGUAUGACGCCGAGGAUCAAGUUGUUUCAACUUGAAAUUCGAAAGCGUGUCGCAUUCGUAGAAAGAUACCAGCUGAUUGGUGAUUAUUCAGGCCAUCGCCCCAGAACGAUUGGGGUUAUAUGGUCAAGCGGAUAAGCGUACGUGGUGGAUGCCUUGGCGGUAGGAGGCGAUGAAGGACGCGGUAGCCCGCGAAAACUUCGGGGAGCUGGCAAACGAGCUCUGAUCCGGAGGUGUCCGAAUGGGGAAACCCGG
rnacentral:misc_RNA from 1 species